rnacentral:lncRNA from 1 species
GGCCGCAAAAAGUGCAAAUUAUCUUAAAUUUCACAUUAACUGUCCAUAUUUGUAAAUAAAUCAAAUUAAAAAAGUCUCUAUCUCCAUGAAUGAACUAAAUUGAAUUAACUAAGUUCUUGUUCACAUAAAUGAAAAAUUGAAUUAACUUCGAAAGUCCUUUUUAAAAUUGUUAAAGUUCUAGUCUUCUUCAUCAUUUUCGUCUAUGAUUGGUAAUUCGUACGCUUUCGUAUCUUCUUCCGGACCUUGGCACUUGCUAAUCGUCUAGAUUGAGUACUUCUGUUUGUUGUGUUUAGAGAGGUUUUUAUAUCGUGUUCCUCUGGUUUGUGCGAAACAAGAAUGCUUAAUAUGUUGGUACAUAUCAAUGCGUGUUCGCUUUUGUCCCUUAUUGAACCGGAAAGUAAGAAACCUAACUUUGACUUUACGGCAGUUGGACCAUUUCCUCUUACGACUUCAUUCUCGACUAAGUCCCAGUAGUAGUCUGCUCCGAUUAAUAACGAUAUUUCGAAAGACUCUUCCUGUGUUACUGGAUGUGCUAACUUAAGUCCCCGU